UGACAGGUGGUGGCAUGGUUGUCGUCAGCUCGUGUCGUGAGAUGUUGGUUAAGUCCGCAACGAGCGCAACCCCUAUUGUUAGUUGCCAUCAUUCAGUUGGGCACUCUAGCGAGACUGCCGGUAAUAAACCGGAGGAAGGUGGGGAUGACGUCAAAUCAUCAUGCCCCUUAUGACCUGGGCUACACACGUGCUACGAUGGUUGGUACAACGAGUUGCGAGUCGGUGACGGCGAGCUAAUCUCUUAAAGCCAAUCUCAGUUCGGAUUGUAGGCUGCAACUCGCCUACAUGAAGUCGGAAUCGCUAGUAAUCGCGGAUCAGCACGCCGCGGUGAAUACGUUCCCGGGCCUU
rnacentral:rRNA from 1 species